GUGGCAUUGAGUACAUGGCACAGCCAGAACCAGAACCAGGCACCUGGGAUUCUGUCCUCAUGGACUGACUGAUUCUCAGCGCCAGAGCCUACUGAAAUACUUUUAGAAGAAACGAUAUGCUGUUUGGUAUUUGCUUCAAACUGAUCCAGGCUGGGUCUGAAAGAAGACAGGACACCUGCAGGAAAGAGAAUCCAACUCAAAAGAUGCAAAAGACUCUAAUGAAGGGCAUCUUGCCAGAGAUAUGAGCAGAGUGAAGGGAAAUAAUAAGGCAUGAUGAGAUACCAAGGGUCCAGCAACAGAGGAAGCCAUUGGUGCCCAUACACCUGAAGAGCAAAGGGAGGAAAUGACAGCACUGAAGACCAAUGGCUGUUGGAGCCUUGGAGUGAAGGCUGAGCCUGGGAAGGGGCACAGCCACCACUCAAACUGGGAAGGGAUGAUGAAGAAAUGCCGGCCUCUCUACGACCCCAUCCUCCAACUACUGCUAGUGCCUCCACAUGAUGGAACCAACCAGAAGCCAGCAGUAAAGGCGCCUGGGAGAUGCAGGUCACCGGGGGUUGGCUUCCACAUCACAAGAGAGAGCAGACGCAGUGAAUGGACGAUGGCUGUGGGCAAGCACAAUGAUCAGAAACUUCCCUCCCCAACAAAAUGAAUAUUUAAAACCCCCAGGCUGAUGAUGUCACAGAUUAAAUAAUAGAAAAAUGAAAUAAGUAAAUUCUUCAAUCAAGGGUUGUUACACAGCAAGAAGGAAAAACAACCUUGCAUCAGUUUCUAUUUAAAGAUUCCAUUUAUGUGAACAAGGUAUACAUAUUUCUACUAAGUCUUAAAAUUUCAUUUUGUGGUGAUCCUUCAG